UACGGAGGGUGCAAGCGUUGUCCGGAAUCACUGGGCGGAAAGAGCGCGCAGGCGGUCGUUCAAGUCGCGUGUGAAAGCCCCCGGCUCAACUGGGGAGGGUCACGCGAUACUGAUCGACUCGAAGGCAGGAGAGGGUAGUGGAAUUCCCGGUGUAGUGGUGAAAUGCGUAGAUAUCGGGAGGAACACCAGUGGCGAAGGCGACUACCUGGCCUGUUCUUGACGCUGAGGCGCGAAAGCUAGGGGAGCAAACGGG
rnacentral:rRNA from 1 species